rnacentral:misc_RNA from 1 species
UCUGAUCAUAAUCUGCCAAGGAUAUGGCAUACAAAAUUAUCGACUUCAUCUUCUCAGGCAACCGCAAUUUAUUCAAGAACUCCACAAAAGGACUGUCCAAGUCCUCUUGGGAGAUUUUAUAAUUUUCAUUAUCCUCAGCGGGAUCCAAAUGCUGCUGAACAAGUUUGAAAAACCUCAUCAACUGGUUCUUCUCUGUCAAACUCAAACUCUUGUCCUUAAAUAUAGCUGCUCGAGAACCAGG